rnacentral:rRNA from 1 species
UACAGAGGUCUCAAGCGUUGUUCGGAUUCAUUGGGCGUAAAGAGCUCGUAGGCGGCUCGUCGCGUCGACCGUGAAAACCCGCAGCUUAACUGCGGGCUUGCGGUUGAUACGGGCGGGCUAGAGUUCGGUAGGGGAGACUGGAAUUCCUGGUGUAGCGGUGAAAUGCGCAGAUAUCAGGAGGAACACCGGUGGCGAAGGCGGGUCUCUGGGCCGAUACUGACGCUGAGGAGCGAAAGCGUGGGGAGCGAACAGG